UCAGGUGGCCGCAGAGAAUAGGCCCAAGCGACUGUUUACCAAAAACAUAGGUUUCUGCUAAGUCGCAAGACGAUGUAUAGGAGCUGACGCCUGCCCGGUGCAUGAAGGUUAAGGGGAUCUGUUAGAGCAAUCGAAGCAGGUAACUUAAGCCCCAGUAAACGGCGGCCGUAACUAUACCGGUCCUAAGGUAGCGAAAUUCCUUGUCGGGUAAGUUCCGACCCGCACGAAAGGCGUAACGAUUUGGGCACUGUCUCAACAACAGACUCGGUGAAAUUGUAAUUCCGGUGAAGAUGCCGGAUACCUGCGACAGGACGGAAAGACCCCAUGGAGCUUUACUGUAGCUUGACAUUGGGUCUUGGUACUACAUGUACAGGAU
rnacentral:rRNA from 1 species